UCCUGGUUCUUUCUGGUCCUUUGGUUCAUCUGAAGGCUUCUUUGGCUUGCCUUUCUUUUUCUUGCCAGGCUCCUUGUCAUCAUAUUCUGGCUUCUCAGGUGUUUCUUUCCAGCCAAAGAUAAUAGGAGUGGGCUCCUUUCCAGGUGUGCCCUCUCUGCUUGGAAGCUUCGUGGGCUCCUUUGUGUCAUCUACAGGCUCUCCUGGGAACCCUGGCAUCUUGUCGCCUUCCUGGAUGAUGCGAGUCACUUCAGUGA